CCUACGGGUGGCAGCAGUAGGGAAUAUUGCUCAAUGGGGGAAACCCUGAAGCAGCAACGCCGCGUGGAGGAUGAAGGUUUUCGGAUUGUAAACUCCUUUUGUUAGAGAAGAUAAUGACGGUAUCUAACGAAUAAGCACCGGCUAACUCCGUGCCAGCAGCCGCGGUAAUACGGAGGAUGCGAGCGUUAUCCGGAUUUAUUGGGUUUAAAGGGUGCGUAGGCGGGCUGUUAAGUCAGCGGUAAAAGCCCGGGGCUCAACCCCGGCGAGCCGUUGAAACUGGCUGUCUUGAGAUGUCGAGAGGUAUGCGGAAUGCGCAGUGUAGCGGUGAAAUGCUUAGAUAUUGCGCAGAACUCCGAUUGCGAAGGCAGCAUACCGGCGGCGAUCUGACGCUGAGGCACGAAAGCGUGGGUAUCGAACAGGAUUAGAUACCCGUGUAGUC
rnacentral:rRNA from 1 species